CGCUAGCACUAGCCCUAGCCCUAGCCAUAGCCCUAGCCGGCACUGUUCCUGUGCCCGUGUCGCCGCUGCUGCUCUCCCUGUCGCCGGCGCCGCUUCUACGCCGCCGCUGCAGCCGGUCACCGCAACCAUCGUCAUCCGUCACCACGGUGAUCCCUUUCUGUUUUUCUUCUUCCCGAGAGGGUUCAGGGCACAGGAAGCAGGAGGGGAAAAGAAGAAAAGGGGAAACAGAAGCAAAAUUGGGGAUUUUCUAGGAUUCCACAAAUUCACCUCAAAUUUGUUUUUCUCCUUUGUAAGGGUAACUGGUCUUGAUCCAUGGUAGUUCAAUUUUCACGUGGGAAUCGAUCGGAUUGCCGGUCGGGUGUUUUUACUUGUUGUUUAUGGGCUGACAAUAGUAUUUUCAAAUCUGGUAUUACACCGUAAGGAUUCAGAUUAAUUGUCCUAAAUAAAAUUUGUAGUCAAUGUCGAUAUCUUUCUAACGCCACUGGUUUCGCUCGUUUCCAAUAAAUGGUUUAGGAGAAACAAAAGAAACAGUACUGCUGACCGGAUCUGUUUUAACUGGGACAGUAAUUAGAUUUACUUAAUCUGAGACCAAUAGAGGCUUAAUCUGAGUUUGUGCCCAACAUGAAAGAUGUAGGAAAUUUUGUCUAGAUGUCCGAAGUUGUAUUAUUUGCUAGAUUCCGUUAGACGGUUUGUGAAUUACGCAUAAAACAGUAAUAAAACAACUAUAGAAUAUUUAAUACAAAUCGGUAAAAGGUUUAUAUGUUCCAGGUCUCGAUUUUAGUAAAUAUCCCUCAUAACUAUCAUUAGUUGAGUAUUAUGGUUUAUGUGUAGUUUUGCUUCACAUGUGUGGAGGGUUCUAAUGUUGGAAGAGUUUAGUCGGAUUAUCGAAGGAGUUAAGGUAAGUACAAGACGGACUUGUAUGAUGGAUAAACUGUGUUACUUUUCAGUUUCACUUACACAAUUAUUAUUCGAAGCUUCCUAUUAUUAACUGUGUGGUUUUGGUAUUAUGCUACAUAUUCAUGUUUCACUUAUUCAUGCUUCAUUCUUCCGAUUGUUUGGUUUACAUUAUUCAAGUACCAUGUGUAGUCAUAGGAGUGCAAUUUGGAUCUUUAUUCAUGAUUUUUGAGAAGCGCUGAUCACGCUUUCUCGGCUUACCGGUAAUGCUAUGAGGAUAUUCAUACCUGCCCGAAGGGAACUACUAUCUUUUGGCUUCUUUGUUUUAGAAUAAAGUAAAUCCAACCUUUCGUAUUGGUUUCUUAUUGCAUUAAACCUGUAUAUGUUUUACUAGUUCAAUAUUGUACUUGCUGAGUAUUCGUUACUCACUCUUGUGUUUAAUUUGGUUUUUAGGUACCUAAUGACAUUGAUCGGCAUGGGGCGGGAGUUGCACCUUUAGACUACACAUUAUUGUUGCACACUAUUGAAAUUUAGUUUUAAACUAUGAUUAUGUUUAGCAUAAGUUUUGCGUAGAACUUAUAAAGGACAUUUAAAGUUUCCGUCCCUAUUUUCACGUGGAAUUUAUGGAGCUAGAAUGGUUUGGGUUGUGUGGAUUA